GUGCGCRAGGCGUCCUGUGCGGAGCCUCAGUGCACGCUGGGAGAGAGAGAGAGAGCGAGAGAGAGAGAGGGAGAUCCCUCCGCCGGGGUUAACCCUCUCCGGCCCGGGCUCGCUCCAGAAGGGAGCACGUGGGGCGAGUUCAGAGGGCUCUUCCUUCCUGGACUCCCUGCGCGGGACUGUCAGGGACAGUUUGUUAUGGUAUGCACAGAGAGAGCGAGAGAGGGACCGCUUUGCCCACUGGAGGGCUCCCGUCGGGGCACGUGCCGCCUCCAGGGCUCUGCCACUGUGGCCUGCGGAGGGAGGGCCCAGGGCGCCCCCCAGCGGCGCGACACGGGUUUCCUCGCGUCUCGUCUGAACACGCAGCGCCUCUUGGUUCCACCAGGGCUUUUUAAAAAAUUGUUUGUUUUGGCAAACCUUUCUGUGAGCCAUCAGAAGCGACUCGAGACCUUUGUGACCCAGAGAUGGGCACUGAGUGGACCCCACUUUCCUCCUCCUGGGGUGGAGAAGGCAACCUAUUUUCAUUCCUUUCCCCAAAAUGUGCCACAAGCUGGCCCAGCGCAUCUCUAUCCUCUUCUUGGAAUGGGUUGCUGAAAGUGUAGUGUUUUCUCUCCAAUCCCCUUGGCAGAAGAUUCCAAAAAAACAGCACCCCAGGAAUCGGCAAGUUUCCUUCCUUCAUCGGUCUUCACCUGCCGGCUACACACAGAGGAGGGUGUGAAAAGGGUAACAAGGAUCAUAACAAUCCAAAAUGAUACCAUCCUUAUUAUAAUUUAAACCACUUCCGUAAUCUGAUACUGGCUGAACAACAGGCAACAGUUGGUGUGUAUUGCAAGCACUAAAGAUGUGCCCUGAGUCCAUGUCCCUCCCGAGGGUGAAAAAGACGGGGUACAAAUGUACGAAAUAAAUAAAAUACUUAUGUGUAUAAUGGGUAGCAUUUGGGUAAGCACAAUUUCACAUAUGAACACUAUUGUUUGUGAUACAGUAUUUUUAAAAGAGAGGUUGAGAAGAGGAAUGCACCAAAUGUAUAAUAGUAUUCUCUGAAAUAUAUGCCUUUUAUGUCCUCUAAACACAGGGGGGUUGUUUUUUAAAAAAACCUGCCAUGAGCAUGAUUAAAAGUUUAACAACCCUUUAACAAAAUACUGUUUCAAGAAGCCAGGCUCAGGAGUGCAGACUUGGUACAUGUUGUGUAUUUCCAAAGCACAUAACUCUGACCUCAGUAACAGUAUUCAUUAGCACUUAGCAGCUGUCUAUUCAAGAUAGAAUCCUACUCUGCGAUGUAGACAAAUCAAAACCAAAGUAAAGGUUAGGAACUGGCACUGCAGCGUAAACACAAAUGUACCAAAUGCAGGAAAAUACACCACAGCUGUCUUCACUCAUUUCAUUAUUCACAAUACAGAUCUUCUAAUUAAGAGAGUAUCAGUAAAACACAACUCUAAAUUUUAAGCACUAACUUCAGCAGCUCAUAAAGCUUAGACCAGGCAGCCUCAAACUUUGGCCCUCCAGCUGUUUGGGCCUCCAACUCCCAGAAGCCCCAACGAGCUUGUUCAGGAAUUCUGAGAGUUGAAGGCCCAAACAGCUGGAGGGCUGCAGUUUGAAGAUGCCUGGCUUAAACUAUAGGCAGUAAUUUACAAAAAAAUAGAAGCAACCCAAUCUUGGGCCAUAAUUUCUCGAUCAACAAAUAAAUCCUUACCUUUCUAGAGAUAAAUCAGCUUUAUUGCCAACGAGCACUACAGGCAUCCUGCCAAGAAAAAAGAAAGACAUUUCUAAAGAUGGCUUCCUGAAUGGUAAGCGGAGGUUUCAUUCCAUGUAUCCUAAACUUCAACAACUAUUUCCAGUAACCACCCAUCUUGAAAUCAAAGCAUGGAAAAGUUACUUUUUGUACCCCAGCUUCCAGAAUCUCCUAGCCAACACAGGCAAAAUCUUCCCGACCCAGAGCUAAUUCCCUAAUAAGAGCUGGCAAGUGAAUGUCUCUGGCACUUUGGUUAGAACAGUGGUUCUCAACGUGUGGUUCCCCAGGUGUUUUGGCCUACAACUCCCAGAAAUCCCAGGCAGUUUACCAGCUGUUAAGAUUUCUGGGAGUUGAAGGCCAAAACAUCUGGGGACCCACAGGUUGAGAACCACUGGGUUAGAAGAACCUGUAUUUGGCCCCAGUGACUUGAGACAUUUUGUAACCUAUCACAGUCAAAUCUAAGCUCUCAAGCACUGGGCAAUUAAACACACAUAACUUCCCUACUCUCCUGCCACAUUUCAGGCCUGCCUGGGACUCAAAGAAUGGCCUGACAAAUAUUACCAUCCAGAUGUGAUGACAUUAGGAUUAUUUGCCAGGUAAGAAAAUGUACUCUGCAUAUCCUUAGUAGAAGCCCAUCCUGCUAAUCUGGAGUUUGCUUCCAGAAAGUACUGAAUAUAUCUGAACAAAUUUUACUGGAAUCGAAAAAAAAAGUGCUGAGGAUAUGAAUUAAUUUGUGCAAUUUUCCAGGCCUUGCGCUGAAGUGGUUUGACUAAUUUUUAUUGUUUUGAUCUGUACAUAGCAUUUUACUCCUUGCUAACAAUGUGCAACCACCUAUAAGUCGGUAUUCUUUUUCUCUUAUUUUUCUUCUUCUUUUAGAUUUGGUACCUUUUGGAAACAAACUCCACAUACAUUCUGCAACAAUGUAACUUCUGUUAUAAUAGCCUUGUAGAAGUACAGCCUACCUACAAAACGCCUCCAAGUCCUGUGACUCCAAAGCAGGCAUGGGUGUUUUGGACGUCAGCUCCCAGAAAUCCUAGAAAUUACUGGCUGUUAAGAAUUGUGAGCGUUGAAGUCCAAAACACCUGGAGGGCCAGUUUGCCCAUGCCUGCUCUAAAGUCAUUCUCAGUUUACAUCCAGGUCAGGAAAAAGCCAAAAAGCACCUUUCCUGACGUAAGCACAGCAGAAAGCGCUACAGAUCUCACUUCAGAUUCGAACCUUGCAACUGGAGACUCAGACUUCACCACCUGAAAACUGCAAAAGACAAGAGGAAGAAUGACACAAUGAUGCUUCUUUUCACACACGCAUACAAGUACACACAAGUCUAUGCCACAUAGUCCUGAAUCCUAGUGACUCUGCAUUGAAGGGAUACAAUAAAGCCACUCUGUUAAAUUUAAACAAUAUAAAUGCUACAAAUGAUCUUAAAAGGUUACAAAUAUAUUACAAAAUUUUAAAAGUUAAAAAGACAGAUCAAGAAAAUGAAAAGAGUUUUAAAACAAAAUAAAACCAUGCGCAUGCAGGAGUUUGAGUGAAAUUAGACCCCGAAAGUGGCUAUGUUUUCAUUUGGCCCAUAAACAACAGCCAGGGUGGGGGCCAAUCAGGCCUCAAACGAGAGACAGGGCCUUCUCGGUGGUGGCCCCCCGGCUGUGGAACGCCCUUCCCACGGACAUCAGAUUGGCUCCCUCCUUAUUGGUAUUCCGGAGAAAGGUGAAAACAUGGCUAUUCGAACAGGCGUUUGAAUAAGCAGUGCAAUGACUUCAGGAAUGGAACUACGACUGACAAGUUUGGAUCAUGAUUCUAGUUAUGAGACGCCACUUGAAUGUUUAUUACUGAUAAAUUGUUUAAUUUGUUUCUGUGCUAAUUGUUUUUAAGUAUCUGUUGAUGUCGCAUUGAAUUCUUGCCUUGACUGUUGCUCUGUUCUUGCUUGAUUGUUGUAAACCGCUAUGAGUCGCCUUAGGGCUGAGAAUGGCGGUAUACAAGUGAAGUCAAUAAAUAAAUAAAUAAAUAAAUACACGUGCAACUGUGAAAGCACAACAA